GUUAUAAAACAAAAUAAACCAAGAUGGCUGCGCCCUUGGAAAAGAGAUGAUGAAGUCGGUUACACAACAGAGAGCAAAACCAUGAAGAAAUAUCCUUCAGAUACACUCUUCAUCAAUCGAAUAAUUCAAAAACUUAAAGUCUCAAGUAAUAAACUAGGAGAAAAGAAAUACUGGAUCAUUUCCUUCCUUGCAGGAGCUGCAUUAGAGUUUUGCAUGGUGAAAUUAGAAGUAAACGGACAUAGUUAUUAUAAAACUUACACAAAGAGAGAGGCUUUGAAAGAAGCUCAGAAACGAUACAUAGAAGAACUAGGGCAAAAACGAGUGGCUGAAUUACUAAAAACUACCCCCAAAGAGGAUCUGGAAUCAGUGAUCUGAGAUAUGGGAAUGCUUGCUGAAUAUUUUACAAAGUACAGAGUUACAGUACUUGCCAAGUCCUUCUUCUGGAUGUUUGUAGGGAAUCAGUGUGUCCACAUGUACUACCAACCUCUUAAACAUUUUGAAGAUGAGGUUCAAAAACAGCUUGAGAUAAUAAGACAGCAGGCUGAGGAAGAAGAAAAAGCAAGUGCCAGCUCUGAACAGACAUCUUGAUUGUGUGGUGGUGAUACACCUGUAGUGCUAACCACUCCCUGAGAUACAGACUAGUUUUGAUAAUUUAUAUUUUGCAUGUUUUGUGUGAAAGUGCAUGGGUUUUGUCACCAAUUUGAAAUAAAUGGAGCAUGUAUUUAA